rnacentral:rRNA from 1 species
UCGCAUCUGUGCAUGCAGCAUAUCAAUAAGCGGAGGAAAAGAAACUAACAAGGAUUCCCCUAGUAACGGCGAGUGAAGCGGGAAGAGCUCAAAUUUGAAAUCUUAAAGGGUUUCCCUUUACGAAUUGUAGUUUAAAGAAGUGUUUUCUGUUGAGGUUUUGGUAAAAGUUCUUUGGAAUAGGACAUCAUAGAGGGUGAGAAUCCCGUAUUUGACCUUUACUUUCAACUUUGUGAUAGCACUUUCAAAGAGUCGGAUUGUUUGGGAAUGCAGUCCAAAAUGGGUGGUAAAUUUCAUCUAAAGCUAAAUAUUGGCGAGAGACCGAUAGCGAACAAGUACCGUGAGGGAAAGAUGAAAAGAACUUUGAAAAGAGAGUUAAACAGUACGUGAAAUUGUCAAAAGGGAAGCGUUUGACACCAGUGUUGUUUUUCUGAAAAUCAAUUAAAGAACUGUUUAUGCUAAGCUGUUUAGACUUUAUCAGCUAAUCUGUUUAGUUUUGAGCUUUUCUUUAAUGCACUUUUCAGUUAACAAGUCAACAUCAAUUUCUUUUGCUGUAAAAAAGCUUGAGGAAGGUGGCUUGAGAUUCGUCUUAAGUGUUUAUAGCCUCUUGCCUAUGCAGUCGGAGAGAUUGAGGUCUGCAGCGUAGAUCCUUCGGGGCUAAAUGCAUUUGUGCUAAGUUAUAGCAUUUUAUAGACAACUUGUUGACUAUGAUUUGUCUUGUAGCUUACUCGCUUAUGUUAUUUUACCUACCGCUUAGGAUGUUGAAUCUGUGCGAGACUAC